GAUACAACAGAUGGUGACCCCGACGUGAUUUCUGGGGGUUUGCUGGAGGGCAAGUCGGGGCCGGUCCCCGCAGCCCCGCCCGAGGCGGCGGCUUCGACACCAAGAAGGGAGGAAGUUCGGCAGGGAUCGUCGGACCGCAGGGACGGAGAGGCUCCAUCCCCGCCUCCUUAUCCAGCUCAGGGUUUAUAUCCUUCGUUGAAACCCUUCAGGGAUGAGGGGGGAGGGGGAAGUGCGGAGGAGUGUAGCAUAGCCUGCUCAACACCUGUUAAGAGGGCAGUGGGGGAGGGCGAGCUGGCCGGAGAGGGUACGGCGCGGCUGGUGAAAUGUGAGAGCGGGGGCGGUGCUUCCUUGCUGCCUGACUCUGUUGCCGCGGCCGCUCCCAUAAGGGGCUGGAAUGUUCACUCCGUCUUGUGAAGGAUGUGGGUGUGGCGUCCCGGUGCGAGCAGCCUCGGGAUUCACCCAGGGAGGGCGGGAUCCUGCAGUGACUGCCUCAUGGGCCGCACCUACACUCACUGACUGCGCUAGGGCGAGGGAGGAUUUACGAACCGCUUACGGUCCGACAACUACGACAUUCGCCCUCCCUGUAGUAGUAAAAACAGAGGGUCCAGCUUGGACCCCUCUGGACUCCAAGGCAAUUACUCGCCUUGCGGAUUUGGUUAAAAGUAAAGGUCUGCGCUCUCCUGUGACCAUGUCGGCAGUAGAAGCUCUUAUGGCUUCUAGCCUCCUGCCGUAUGAUGUGAUCAACCUUAUGUGUGUCAUCCUUGAACCUGUACAAUAUACCCUGUGAUAUGAUGAGUGCAAUCGGCCACUUCACCAUUCCACACGUGCCUUAUAGGGGUACCUUUGAAUUUUUCUACUGAUAGGUUGCUGUUUUUGGGAUAUGUAGAUAACAUAACUGCUUGCGAAAAGUACUUUACUUCAGGUGCUAAUAUUUCAGCUUGCCUGAUCCGCAUGCUCAAUACAUCACUUUCGUGGGACCCCCUGAAUUGCUGCUUAUGGGUUCUCAGAGCGUAGGUUCAGAGGUUCAGAGGGAUGCAUAUGUUUUGAACAAUUUGCCUUACAAGGAUCGCUUUCCCAACGUGGGAUUGCGCAGGAUCUCCUUAAGAGGGGUAGGCCUUUGUUGUGGGACUCCAGCCGUAAUAGAACCAUCCCACACACGCUUGUUAACCCGCUGAACAGUGAGGUGUUCAGGUGGUCUGGCCCGUACUGUGGGUACGUGGUAAAUCGUACUCGGCAGUGGUAUAAUUUCAAAACCGCGAAUGGGUGGAAAGGUUCCCUGUGUAACAAUUGUACAUUGCCAGAGCAGUGGUGCAAUAUCACCACAAGUGACUGUUGCUGCAACAUCACACAAUCUUGGCCGCAGGGAGGGUACGGAUACCCCCGCAGGAGGCCACAAUAUAAUGUCACCACCGGAAAACUAUGGAAAGGUAAAUUUGAUGAUAAUGGUCUGGAUAGGAGUAAUGAGAGAGUUAGUGUUGUCGGAGGUUCAAAGAUGUUACCACCAGGGGUGUUCCUGGUAUGUGGUGACAGGGCUUGGCAGGGUAUCCCGAGGAUACCGGUGGGGGGACCAUGUUACCUGGGGAAAUUAACCAUUCUAUCACCAAGCAUCUCUGAGUGGGUACAAUUGGUCAGGGACAUGAGUAGAGGGACUCGGAAAAGGCGAAGUAUUCACACCCUAGGAUCAGACUGCGGUGACGAGGUACACCUUUGGGGACCAACGGCACGAAUAUUUGCAUCCAUCCUGGCUCCGGGAGUAGCCGCAGCUCAAGUGCUUAAGGACAUAGAAAGACUAGCUUGUUGGUCCGUGAAACAGGCCAACGUGACUUCCGCGCUCCUAAGCGAACUACUCAUGGACAUUGAUAGCCUUAGGCAUGCUGUGCUCCAGAAUAGGGCGGCGAUCGACUUCCUACUCCUGGCACAGGGUCAUGGAUGCAACGACUUUGAAGGGAUGUGUUGUUUCAAUUUAAGCGAUCACAGUGAAUCACUACAUAAGAAGUUACAACUGUUAAAGGAACAUACAAAAAAGAUUGGAAUACAGGAAGAUCCCUUCGGAAAUUGGUUGGACAAUUUGUUUGGUGGGAUUGGGCCAUGGCUUAAGCAGUUGCUUAAAGCGUUAGUAAUAGGGCUGUUUAUAUUUUUGGGGUUAAUGUUGUGUUUGCCAUGUAUCUUUCAAUGUUUGCGAGGUUGUAUACAACGAAUGACUGAGAAAAUGAUCUACACGCAAUUGGAAUAUUGUAGAAUGCAGGAUAAGUUCUAAGAUGUAUGUUGUUUAGGUUUAGCACAUUGCGUAUUGUAAUGGGGCAAGGCUUCUCUUGGCAUGGGGAGGGGGAAAUGUUGUAUUAGGCGCUUGCGCCAUCUUCGGGUUGUAACGCGUUAGGACCUCCCCCUCCAUAUAUAAGCACGUGUUUGUUCCAUAAAAGCGCCAUUUUGCUGUUCACCAUAUCGGUGUCACCUCGGUAAUUGGCCAAGCUGCGGUCUCCCAGGAAAAGCGAACGGGUGAAGGAUACAACAGAAAGGAAAGGAGUAGUUUUACAUUGAAGAUGUGCAUCUUGCAUACGUACCGACUACCGUUGGCUCCAGGUCCACAAACACUGCUCUGGGAACAUGUUUACCAGCUCCCGUCUCAUUGAAGAAAGUGUUAAAUGAAUCAUCUCUGCCUCCAAUAGUUUUGUCACUGAGCAUGUGACCAUCAGGCUGGAUCCCAUGUUCAAGACAAUACAAUUGCCAGCACGCACUGCCAAGCUGAACACCGGCCUGACCAACAUGGAUGGAUAUGCAUUCACGCUGCAAACAAAAAAAAGGACAAUGAUAACGUGAGAUCUGGGGCUAUCCGUCACUUAGAUUUCACUCUCAAAAUAACUUGCUAUCUGUGGGUUAUACUGUAGUGAUCUUUCCCUGCUGCAUUAUUACCUCGGCUGCUUGAGUGACAAUUAAAAUGAUCCAACAGUC